AGUAGUGUGGCAUAGUGGUUUGAGUCUCAGACUAUGGCUCUGGAGACCAGGGUUCGAUUCCCAACUCAGCCA